UAGGGUCUUCCUGCAAUCAGGAAUCAUAUUCCCUCUCUAGUUUCUAUGUAUACUUCCACGUAUGAUCAGAGCCUCAGCUUCUUUGUAAACUAAGUCUCCCCUGAUUAUUCUAACCCGUAAAGAGAGAUCUGUUUAAGAAUUCCAGUUGUUGAUUGCCUAUACUGGCCCCUUGGCACUUAAUACUGCUGUGCAUUGUAACUUAAUCUUUUUACGAUUGGAUCCUCAAUGUAACUAUACCUUCCAACCUGCCACUACUGCUGAGCAUAACUUUGCAGCUGUUGUUGCACAUUUGUGUCUGACACUCAGGAGGCAAGCCCUGGGCUGGAGUUUUUGGAUGGAUCUGCUACAUUCCUGUACUCUGUGUGCCAGUGGGAACAAGAAGGAAUGUCUGCUGGCUUUAAAAAUGGAGACAAUUGAACCACAUGCCUCAGCUGCUGGUGCAUUGAUAAAUAUUUUCUGAAUGAAUGCAUGAGAAGAUUAUUGCCAAUGUGCAUCAGGAUGUGCAAGGGUGACCACGGAGAGAAGUGGAUGGAACUGACCCUCACUUAGGCAGUGACCCAAGGUGGGGGAACCUCGCUCAGCCUGUUGGUGACAUGAACGAGACUAUUAGUAAAGAAGAGAAAAUGAAGACACUUGGUUUUAUGCCAUCUGGGAUAAUGGGCUUCCUUUUUAAAGAAAGUGUUUAGAAAGAGGAAAGAGGCCAGUAGGCAUGCAAGGGGGAAAAUUUGCGUUUUAGAGCCAAGCAUAGUCCCCUGGCUUACAAUGGUGAUAAAUAAAGAAAUGAAGUAGAUAGAUGAGCCACGGUGAAGUACUGGAUGAUUCAGAGUUGGGAGCCAGCCACCUGAAGUCCUGGGGAGUUCUCGAGGUAGCUUGCUGUUCUAGAGACUUAAUUACCACUGUAACUCAUGACACAUAAUUGCAUGUCAGAUAGGCUAGUCUUCGUGCUGUACUGCAGCCUUUUGGAAAUAAAUGAUGCUUAUUUCUCUUUCUCCUACAAACUGACCCAGUAGAUUUCUAAUACACAUCUUAUUGUUCCUCUUUCUUAUCCUAGUUCAUCAACGGAAAUAGCAGCAGCGGCACGAUUUCAUGUAGAACUCACAUGAAACUUAUAGAAUCAUAAAAUCUUAAAUUUUUAGAGUAUAUUUGAGAGCUAAUCUCAAUUGCAAAAGUCCCUUGAAGUUGAUUAAAAUAAAGAAAGAAGCAAGUCAAAUUUUCAGGGAACCUCGGUUUUAAAAUACAUCCAAUCUAAUUUUAAUUUAGGAACUUUGUAAUCUCUUUUUUUUUUUUUCUAUAAAGAGACACUUUUUUUUUUUCUGUCUCACUCUGUUAGAUCCAAAUUCCAUUAGAGUGUGAGAAAUUGUGAAUAGAAAGUAAGUAGUUUCCUUUUAAAAAGAAAGUUGAAGAUAGAACCCAAAGCCAUAUAGAAAAAUCUGGAGUUUUGCUUAUUAAUCAUGUCAUUGUUUUACUGAAUAAAGCAUGACUGGUCCUUAAAUUUUUAACAUCUGUUUUUUUCUGAAUAGUCAGCCUCCAUUACCCUGUGUUCAUUAAUUUAAUGAAAAGGCCAUGAUUAUCA
ensembl:lncRNA